rnacentral:rRNA from 1 species
AUGGCGUACCGAGUGCUGGAGGUCACCCUCCUGUCAGCCAAGGACCUGAAGAGCGUGAACCUCAUCACGCGCAUGGAGGUGUACGCGGUGGCGACCAUCUCCGGCGACCCGAUCACUCGCCAGUGCACCCCGCCGGACCCCCACGGCGGCCGCAACCCGACCUGGAACGCCACGCUCCAGUUCGCCGUGCCGCCCACCGCCGAGGAGGCCACGGGCGGCUGCCUCCACAUCCUCCUCCGCGUCGAGCGCAUCUUCGGCGGCGACCGCGACGUCGGCGAGGUCAUCGUGCCCCUGUCCGAGAUCCUCACCGGCGUCGGGCACGGCGCCGACUACGGCGCCCACAGCAUGCCGCAGUUCGCGUCCUACCAGAUCCGCAAGGUGCACCGCACCGAGGUGCGCGGCCUGCUCUACCUCACGUAUCGUCUCGGCCCCAUCGUGCUGCCGGAGCCCCAUCUGGAGGUACCCGUCGACGAGUGGCCGGUCGUGGCGUACCCGGCGAAGCAGGUGAUGCCGCCGCCGCCGCCUCCACCGCAGGCUGCCUGGCCCGGGUAUGUGGCCGCGGCACCGCCGGCAAAACCACCUGCCGGCUACGUGGCUGUGCCACCGCCUCCACCUGCAAAGCCAGCCGGCUACAUGGAUGUGCCGUUUUCGCCUGAGAAAGCACCCGGGCAUACGGCCUGGCCGUCUCCAAUACCUUACUGGUACGGGUCCGCGCCAUCACCUGCAAAGCAAGAAGGGCAUGCCGCCGUGCCGCCGUCUCCGAAACCUUCUGGGUACGGGACCGCGCCAUCGCCUGCAAAGCACGAAGGGCAUGUCGCCGUGCCGCCGUCUCCUCAUCCUUAUGGGUACGGGAGCGCGCCAUCGCCGGCAAAGCAAGAAGGACAUGUCACCGUGCCGCCGUCUCCGAAACCUUCUGGGUACGGGGCCGCGCCGUCGCCUGCAAAGCAAGAAGGACAUGUCGCCGUGCCGCCGUCUCCAAAGCCAGCCGGCGGACAUGUCGCCGUGCCACCGUCUCCUGAACCAUCCGGUCGGGUGGUGUCCAUGCCGCCUUCUUCAAAACCAGUCGGGCGUGUGGUGUCUAUGCCACCGUCUACUCCGAAACCAUCAGGUCAGGUGACGUCCAUGCCACCUUCUCCAAAGCCAGUGGAACGUGCGGUGUCCAUGCCGCCGUCUCAGAAACCGGUCGAACGUGUGGUGUCCAUGCCGCCGUCUCAGAAACCGGCCGGGCCUGCGGUGUCCAUGCCGCCGGCUCCGAAACCGGUCGACCGUGUGGUUUCCAUGCCGCCGUCUCAGAAACCGGCCGGGCAUGUGGUGUCCAUGCCGCCGGCUCCGAAACCGGUCGACCGUGUGGUUUCCAUGCCGCCGUCUCAGAAACCGGCCGGGCAUGUGAAACCGGCCGGAAAUGUGGUGUCCAUGCCGCCGGCAUCGAAACCAGUCGAACGUGCCGUGUCCAUGCCGCCGUCUCAGAAACCAGUCGGGCGUGUGGCGUCCAUGCCGCCGUCUCCAAAGCCAACCGAGCAGCAUGUGUCCUUGCCGCCAUCUGCAAAACCAGCGGCACAAGUGGCCCCGCCACCGUCUCCAAAACCUUCUGGAUACGAGGCCCCGCCACCGUCUCCUCCUAAACCAGCUGCACAUGUGGCCGUGCCGCCGUCCCCAAAACCAUCAAGUCAUUACACCGUGCCGCCGUCUCCAACACCCGCCGGACAUGUCGCCACCAUGCCGUCGUCGUCUCCGAAACCACCUGUUCAUGCGGUGCCGCCAUCUCCAAAGACAAGCACGCAUGUGACCGUGCCGCCGUCGCCAAAGCCAGCCGGCGGAUAUGUGUCCGUGCCGCCGUCUCCAAUGCCAUCCGGCGGGCAUGUGUCCAUGCCGCCGUCUCCGUCACCAUACGGCCAGGUGGUGUCCAUGCCGCCUGCUCCAAAACCAGCCGCCCAAGUGGCCGUGGCCCCGCCUCCGAAACCAGCCAACUUGCCGGCAGAUCACAACCCCAGCAUGGAGUUCGGGUGGGGGCUGGGCGCCGGCCUGGUCAGCGGCGCAAUCAGCGGGAUGCUGGCCGGCGGCAACAAAGGAGAACCGAUGGCGUACGCACCACAAGCCCCUCCACUCGCCCGCAGCCGUCAAGUGUCUGUGUCUAAGACGUACGGCAGAGAUGUUUACACGCACUAA